AGUGGUACUUGGCAGUACUGCAGAGAAUAACGGAUGGAACCGGUGUGAACAAAAGGUGUACUGAACUCACCGAUGAAAUUUAGAGUCCUAUAGUGAGCAUCGAUGGGAACUGUGGUUCAAUGUUGUGUGGUCAGAUAUGCAGAGCGAUAUAAGGAUACCGCUGGAGAUGGAGAGUGGAACUGGAGAGGAUGUGAAGCACCGCUGUAGACUGAUAGUGACACAGAGCACUGCUGAAAGCGAUGUGGAUGAAACGCUGGAAGCUGGAAGCCAGUGACGAAUUCGCUAUGGAGGAUAGAGAGCGAUGCUGCAGACAAUGGAAGCAGGAACGAUACCAGGACACCGCUGGAAGCGGAGCAGGACCAACGCUGGAAGCUGGAAGGCAAUGUCAGGAUUGUAGCAGAUAACCGGGAAGCAGAGCUGGAACACUGCAGAAGUCAGGCUGCACCGCAGGAUGGUAACUGGUGCGGGUCUCUUAGUGGAGCUAGAUCACAGGAGCUGGAAUACCUGGAAGAAAAAGCUGUAGAUGCCACAAACAGGAGAGACAUGUGUACAAGGAUUGACAACCAAAGCACUGACGAUUAGGCAGCCUUGAUGCAGGAUAUUUAUACCAGCUGGGAAGCAGGUAUUGGCUGGGUAAUCAGGCAGAGUCCAGAGUGCAGCUGCUGGGUAAUCAGGCAGAGUCCAGAGUGCAGCUGAUAGGCUGUAAAGCAACAUGUGAUGAAUCCAAAAUGGCUGCGCUCAUGUUUGACUCUGGAGGGAAAGUCUGUUUGAACUUUAGCAUAUGAGAGACUGAGGCCAUCUUACACAGCGUGCUGCACGCAGACAGCGCAGGUGGAAUCCAGGCUUGGGGCGCUGGGCCAGUCUCAGGAGACACUUGGAAGCUGAGAGAAGAGCGUCGCAGAGGCAUUGGGGAUGAAGUUACUCCUGUCAUGGACAUUCCGCAGUACUGCUGGUUGGGGCUGAAAAUGACAUUUUAGGUGGUGUGGUCUUUUGGCAGCUGUCAUUACUCCACUCACUUGGAUGCAACGCUGAGUAAUGAGACACUUACCAAGCAAUUACAGAUUCCUGCUCAUUUAUAUACCUAACAUCUGACUUUCUUGUGCUUAUAAUGCAUUAAAAAAAAAGACAUUUAUACAAUUA